AGGUGGUCUAUUUAAUCCUGCCCUACCUGCUGCUCCACGCCAGUCCGUAGUCGCCUCUCAGCGAUCACAACUCGGCGUGUUUUUGUUUACGAGCCACCUGCCUGUCCACCUGUCCGCCUGAGAUUUGGUUCACCAUCAGCUUCGCCGUCUCGACCCCUUUUUGGAGCUCCACCCCCCUCUGGUUCACUCGGCCCGGCUAUCACCGUGAGACGCACACUCCACCUUCCCUCGUAUGCUGCCUUUUUUCCGCACCCCAGUAAUCUGUCUCUCUUUUUGUUUUACAGCCUCUCACAGCCCCGCUCUCGGCGUUCCCUGCGCGGUCCCUCGGUUUCUUCUGGUUCCAUACGUUGUUUUUCAGGCUACCCUCACGGGACACCUUUAGUUGCAAUAAAAAUUACUUUCUUUA